AAAGGAUCAAUACAAGAAAAAGAUGGAUGGCACUAAAAGCAAAAUAUGAAUCCCCAGAAACUAAAAGAUACUCAGAGAUAUGUGCUUUCCCAUAGAGUCAAAAUCUUUUGAGGAUUUUCACUUUGGAAAGGUGAAGCAAAGGUAGUGAUUAUUGUCAAAUUCCCAUUUGCAGAUACAAGCUAAGGAUUGCUUGCAGAAAAACUACUACCUUUUGAGCCAGAAUAAUUGAAUCAACUGGGGUUAGCUCAAUUGGUACACGCGCAAGCAAUUGUGAGUAGGGUCGUGUUUGCUGUGCAAGAUCGACCCUUCUUCCAAGAAAAAGAAAAUAGCAGAA
rnacentral:misc_RNA from 1 species